rnacentral:rRNA from 1 species
UAGGGAAUCUUCGGCAAUGGACGAAAGUCUGACCGAGCAACGCCGCGUGAGUGAAGAAGGCCUUCGGAUCGUAAAACUCUGUUGUUAGAGAAGAACAAGGACGUUAGUAACUGAACGUCCCCUGACGGUAUCUAACCAGAAAGCCACGGCUAACUACGUGCCAGCAGCUGCGGUAAUACGUAGGUGGCAAGCGUUGUCCGGAUUUAUUGGGCGUAAAGCGAGCGCAGGCGGUUUCUUAAGUCUGAUGUGAAAGCCCCCGGCUCAACCGGGGAGGGUCAUUGGAAACUGGGAGACUUGAGUGCAGAAGAGGAGAGUGGAAUUCCAUGUGUAGCGGUGAAAUGCGUAGAUAUAAGGAGGAACACCAGUGGCGAAGGCGGCGCUCUGGUCUGUAACUGACGCUGAGGCUCGAAAGCGUGGGGAGCAAACAGG